UUCAGUAGAGGUUGAGCAGUUUAUACUUGAUGACUUGAGAAACCAUGUACAGCUGAGCAGUGUUGCUCUGCCAUCCAUUAGUUUUUAUACAUUUAUCAAUGCACAUAAUGGUUUAAACUGUUCAACUAUACCCCCUGACGGGUCAUUGGUUGCUGCUGGAUUUUCAGAUUCAUCGCUGAAGGUUUGUUCUUGAUUACAUUUUCGUUGCAUGUGACAUGUCAAUUGUUUGUGUUUUCUACUAAAUUUGGUACACAUUGUGCAUAUUUGGGAUAUGGCAAAGCUUGGGCAACAGGCUGUUGGUUCUGUUUUGCAGGGUGACGAUGAUGCAAAUCCAAAUGAGUUUGGUUCAAAUGGAGGAAAAAGACCCUAUACCUUAUUUCAGGGGCACUCAGGACCAGUUUAUUCAGCUUCUUUUAGUCCUAUGGGAGAUUUUAUACUUUCCUCUUCAGCCGAUUCAACAAUUCGGUUAUGGAGCACUAAACUAAAUGCAAAUCUUGUUUGC